UUUUUUCAAAUUUUUUACAUUUACAUAAUACAAAUUGUAACUUAUACUUACAUGUUUACAUGACUAAAGUCUUGAAUGUGUUUUUUUACACAUCAAAUAUCAAUGCUGUAUAUAUAUUUUUUUCGUUUUGUUUUUGCUUUCCCCUUUAAAAUAUUAAAAAAAAAAUGUGUUUUCUACAUUUCUCAAUUUUUAAAAAAGGUAGUUUUCUUUCCCUUUUAAUCCUGCCCCUCCCGAAUCACUAUUACCUUUGUUUCAGUUUUAAUAAAUCAUUAAAUGUAUCCAUUUAUAUCUACAUACGCGGUGUUGUUGGGAAGCCCUGCCUGCGUAUGUAGGAGUGUAAAGUGAAUUCUCGGCAUCCCCACCAGACGGGUUUCUCUCGCUCCAUCCUGGGAAUGUUUGAUCCACACAUCCACGACGGCUUUAAUAGUUUGACCGUAAUCCUGCUAACUAACAAGAGGUAAGCGGAACGCACCUGGCACCUUAAUACAUCGGCGCGUCGGCUCUGAAGAGCGCACGUCACAUUAUUACAUCAACAGCUCCAAUACUAAUUCAUCCCAAACACGAGUAUUUAACCUAUCCAUUAUUCAUUUCCCCGACAAUGCCAGGGGGCAAAGAAAUCAGUACUGUAGAUCUGCCCAGCUCCGCAGAGGCUGAUGCAUUAUUCAGGGGUGUGCCGGGCUAAAAGACUGCUCGCCUUGUUCUCGACUGCUGGAGGCAACGAUCCUCUCGCAAGGACAACGUUCCUCACUCUCAAGUCAAAGUUGCAUCAGCGUGUUUGCUCACCGCCGCUCUCGACCCAAACAUGCGGCGCAAUCGCUGUCUGUUCCUUUCGUUGUCUUGCCUGUCCCACAAGCAAGCAGACAUUCUCUGUACAAGCGCUUUUGUAUUAACUUUGGCCUUUUCCAGCUUAUACUACUAUAUAAACUCUACGUUACAGUACAAAGCCAAAGUUGAAAAUUCAUAGUCAGCAUCAAAGCAUUUUAUGACGCCAGUGAAAGAGCUGACAUACAAUACCUUUACAGUACUACUUUAAUUUAUUCUGUGACCAAACUCGUAACUCAAUUUCCAUAUAUUGUGCCCGCAACGGGCGGGGCUUGUGAGUAACAUCAGGAUUGUAGUCUUCAUGACUUGAGUUUUGGCCUUCUGUAGCUACCUGCGAGUGUUUUCGUCGUGUAUUUGUUGUUUGACUGUUUUUAUACUUUUUAAUCAACAACUGAAAGUGCACAGGGGAAUGUUGCUUUUUCACUUCACUCCGCGUUAGCGGCGGCGUAUAUGAAGCUCGCUGGUAACUCAAAUUUUAGUUCACAGCACUGGGCAAAGAAUAAGCACUCGUAUGUCAAUUAACUUUUUUUUUUUUUUACGUUGAGCGCACAAAAACAAGGCCGACCUCGUUCUCUCAUGAGAAAUCAGCUCCAUAAUUUGAUCUUUGUCAAACUUAAGUUGCUGCAGGUGUCUAGCAGGACGAGCGAUAGCCUCGGGGCUCACCGUGCUACAGCGCAAGGGCCCCGCCGAGUUUAGCCGUCAUCCCCCGCAGUCUGGCGGCGGCAGCGUUUUCAAACGCCGUCCCAUCUGAAGUUGCCCUUGGUUCUACAUGUGUUGUGGUAAUUAUAAAUGAGGGUGGCUAAGAUCUGUACAAACCCAUCAAACGUCGUACAGCUUGCCGCUAUUGUAAUAAAGAUCAAAUGGCAGGCGGAAUCAGUGGCCAUUUUUUUUUAUGGAAGGAGAACUGACAUACUUUCUCUUCACAUCUUUUUCUCGCUCUACGUAUGUAUAUGUCGCUACAUGGAACAUCCCUUUUAAUUGCCGUUUGUUAUGUGAACUACACACGGCAAAUUCAAUCCACUACAACCCUGUUUGAUAUUGGAGACCAAGGACCCUCGCUCAGCGUCUGGCGAUAAAGAAUAUAUAGCGUAUGUACUCCGUGCGUGAACCUCCCGAAGCACGUAAAGGUCACUCCCUAAUUGCAACACAACCACUUUUCCCGCUCGCACUUUUUCUUGUUGUUGCAGCAAAGCCGGCUGAGGUCAUCUGACCAGAAUGUGGAAGAUGUGCAAAAAGAAGCUGCGGAUCAAACAGAGUUCUGUCUGACAGGAGGAGAUAAAGAGACUGUCAGCAUCGCCUCAGAACAAAGCCGCUCCGGCCCCGAGCUGCUCCCCCGAUGGCGGCGCCGCGUGGAAUGGGAAAAGGCGGUGGAAUGAAUGCUCCAUUCAAGUGCCAAGGCAGGUGUUAUGGAGCGAUUAGCCAGACCUGAUCAACAGGAGAUGAGGAGCCGACGGAAUGCGCCCUUGCCGCUCUUAAUGGUUAUUGUGAGUCAAAGAUGUCGGUGAAAUAAUCAAGCCCAGGUCAAGUGAGAUCAAGUCUGCUUGCUAUUUACAUGCCAAAAUAUCUCGCCGUGACUCAAGUGCAGCAUAAUGUCUGCGACUGGAGUAGGAACAUUUUUGUCUGAUUUGUCUUUGAAAUAUCUACAAUAUGUACUGUUGAUGUUUUCCCACUUUCUAUAAUCGAGUGUCAUCGUUGCAUUUGGUGAGUCUUUGUAAUCCAAAUGUAGAAUUGCCUCUUAGACCUUGUAUAUCUUCUGUAAAUUAAUCUAUUUCAACUUUGAUUUUAUGUUGUAUCUGGUGUUUUUUUUCCUUCAUCUUCCAGGAAUUGUGCCCGGAACCUAGCGACAUUAUCAUGCUGCAAUAUUAGAGAUCCAUGAGCCACCCAUGUGAUGCAAUACAUAGUGUCUGCUGUCUGCACUUUACAGUGAAAACCAGGAUUCACCCGUGAAGGAAACCAAAGUGCCAGAGGCCAACGAAUGUUUCAGACCAUCGUGGGUCGAGACCCUGAUUUCACAGUUGUCUGACUGGCAGGUUUCAGACCAUCUUGGAACUGAAGGUGCUGGAUGUGGAGCUCCCGGGCUUGCGAGGGCACACGCGUUCAACGGCCGUAUGCCGGGUUGGAUAUGCUACCGAUUCCCCUGAACCCACUUUCCUGACUGUUGAAGGAACACUCAGUUCAACAGUCCUCCUUUCGCUUUUUCUCCACUGAAGAUCUGCUGUUUGGGAACACUUUCAGUUGAUGUUCUACCUCCGGGCUUGGACCAAAUCUCUGCGUAUUAGGAUCAAAAACACUGUUGGCGCCGUUCCCUAUGUCUUUACAUAAUUUGGUCAUUGGGAGCGUAGCCAAGCAUGGAAAGUAGACCGCUGAUUAUCCAAUAAUGUUGCGACCACAAGACGUGAAUAUAUAUUGAAAAAAAAAAUCUGUGCUGUGUUGGGCCUAGAUAACGGCUCAUCCAAUGAGACGGCCACUCACCUCUCCGGCGGCAGCUCGGCUCGACUCGGAGGCCUGCCGGGAAAAAAAGCCGCUUAUUCCACUUGCAGCCUAAGAACAGGUCUCAGGUUUGGAGGAGUUGCGCAGCAUAAACAGGACCGUUUCGUCUGGGGGGAGGGGGGAACGGUGCUGUAAGACGGCAAAUGGAAUUUUUUUACAUUCGCCGUGCAGGUUGUUUUAACCUCACGUCUGCUGGUUUAUUGGUUUGUCUGGCAGUGGAUGCUUAAGAAAAAUGUUUGGCCUGCUCCUGCUACCUCAUAUCCUUUUUUCAUAUUAUUCAUUUUUUUAAAUCAUACUAUAUUUUAUUCACCUGUUUAAAAUUGUAAUUUUUUGAUCACAUGUUAAUUUUAUAAAAUUUUGAUAAAAUUUGACAAGUGAUUUAAAUCACUAGUGUUACAUUUGGGUUAAUGUUUUUACUCUAUUUUAUUUUUUGUCACAUUUUAUUCAAUUUUAUAUUUAAUUUUAUACUUUAUGUUGUUUAUGACACAGAGGAGUCAUGGGAGAAAGUUUUGUGGUCAGAUGAGACCAAAAUUGAACUUUUUGGUCAUAAUUCCACUAACAGUGCUUGGAGGAAGACGAAUGAUGAGUUCCAUCCCAAGAACACCAUCCCUACUGUGAAGCAUGGGAGUGGUCGCAUCAUGCUUUGGGGGUGUUUUUCUGCACAUGGGACAGGACAACUUCACUGUAUUAAGGAGAGGAUGACUGCGGCCGUGUAUUGUGAGAUUUUGGGGAGCAAACUCUUUCCCUCAGUCAGAACAUUGACGAUGGGUCGUGGCUGGGUUUUUCAACAUGACAAUGACCCGAAGCACACAACCAGGAAAACCAAGGAGUGGAUCCGUAAGAAGCAUAUCAAGGUUCUGGUAUGGGCUCACCAGUCUCCAGACCUAAACUGAAUAGAAAAUCUUUGGAGGGAGCUGAAAUGCCGUGUUUCUCAGCGACAGUCCGGAAACCUUUCUGAUCUGGAGAAGAUCUGUGUGGAGGAGUGGCCCAAAAUCCCUCCUGCAGUGUGUGCAAAC